CCCUCCUCCCUCCCCCCCACCAGGCCGUCCUUGGCCGAGUGGUGCUGCCGCUGGUGCCGCCGCCGGACCUCCUUAGCCGCUGCAGCCCACGCCCGCGAUGACCCUGCUGUCAGCCUCAGGGGACACUGCGGCCUCUGCCACGAGCCCGGGAGCCCGACGCCCAAAGGUCACUGGACCUGUGGGGCAGCUCUGGGACCCUGCUGUGCCGGCCACCAGGCCAGGUGCUGGAGAACCAUUCCGGAGGACAGUCAAGGCCCCUGUGUCCAAAGCUUAAAUCAGAAGAGACGGACUGAUUCAGAAGGAGCUUCCAGACAGAGAAAAGCAUCUGUAGAGAGAUCGCAAGCAAACUGAUGAGCAGGAAAACGUGAGACGAUGACGCAGGAGAGGAAGAAUGAGGGUCCCGCUAUCUCUCUUGGUUCUGUGGUGAGACCCUCCCCUUGCGGUGAAGGAGGGAUUAACACGGCGAGAACCUACGGACUUUUAAUAAGUGGAUUUUCCAGAAGCCACGUGACGCGUGACGAGCUCUUUGCUCAGAUGCGGUGGAAUGCAGCUCGCUGUUCUUAUGUUCUGCAGAACGUUCUAGGUUGACUCAUUGGCUUAACGAUGGGAGAUUUGGAGGGUCCGCUUUCUCGAGCCACAGCUGCACCGAUUUCGAACAAAGAGCCGCGAAACGUGAGCGGCUGUAGCGCGGCGUCGCUCACUCACAAAGGGAGACGUCUGAUGGGGGAGAACCUGGUCGGAACUGCAGGCUGCACUUUUGGGCGCCCGUGAACAAACAGCUGCCCAGAUGCUUGAGACGGUGUCUCUUCUAGAGAUGCAAGUGCGAAGCCUCUGAGGCCGCACGUGGAGGGUCUCUGCCGAAAACCCGACGCGUGCGUGUGGGGAGAGCCCCCAGCCCGACCCGCUAGCUCUGAACGGCCUGCUGCUGUUUGAGAGGGCUGCGGGCUUGUUGGCCAGCCUUGCCCCUUAAACGGAAAACCUGCGAAAGGCAGAUGCUAAGAACGUGCUGGAAGUUGACAGUGUGUGCAAAGUCCCUGGUCCUGCCCCUGCAGAGACUGCACAGUCGGGGGCGCCUUCUUCCGGGAGUAACCUGUGCCCGCGCAAAGUCACACCACGCGGUUACUUGGUCUUUCGUUGCUGUCAGUUUUCAUGUGUGGCGAGACACCCGCACGACCACAUUGACGCGUAGUCCUAAGUGUAUCCGAAAGGUGUGCCCCGAACAACGGCAUGUUCCGUCUUGCAAAAUCGGACUCCUGUCCCCGAUCAACAACAGACAGGGCCUCGUCCCCGCCUCCGCGCUGCUCUCUGUCUCCGUGAAGCUGACGACCCGAGAGAGACUCAGGCGAGCGGAGUCAGACAGCGUUGUCUCUGCAUCACUGGCUUAUCUCUCUGCGCAUCCUGCCUCCGAGGCCCAGCCCCGCUGCAGCCUGUGCGAGAGGCCCUUCCUCUUCGAGGCGGGGCCGGGCUCCGCUGUGUGCGUGGACCACGCCGUGUUUACCAUCGUCCCCGGGGUGAAGCGGGCUGGCAGGCCAGGCUUGCUCACGGGACUAUUGCACGUCUGUGGGAAGAGAUGUGAGUUCAAGUGAAGGAAUGUGCGUGGGCACACUCGUGCGCCGAGAGCGGUGAUUAUGCUAACGAGCGUCCCGAGGAUGCGGCCCCACGGCUGCCGUCCUUCUGACUCAGGCUGAGCGGCCGCCUUCCGAGGUGCUGUCAGCUUUGCACGUGCUGUCCUUCAGCCCCAUUAUCUUCCCGUCUUGUUCGAGUGCAGUUGUUUUCCUGAGGCCUCAGGGUGGGAUUGAUUUACUGAGCCUGGUAAAUCCCAUCUGCUAGCUUCAGACUGUCAUUCUCACCUGCCGAGGUCAUUGUGGUUGUUGACUCUGUCAUCUGCCCUUCUGCCCUGCUCUCCUGGGUUUAUGUCCUCUUCAUAUUUGAUAUCUCUGUCCCUCCGUCCAUCCAUCCGUCUGUCCACCCAUCCGUCCAUCUGUCCGUCCGUCCAUCCGUCCCUCUGUCUGUCCAGCGACUUUCUAUAGUGUACCCUACUGUGUGCAGCCUCUGUGCUAAGCUCUGGGUACAGGGGUGAGCAGAACAGAAAGGAAUCUGGGUUCUCCUGGAGCUUUCACUGGGGUAGAGAAGACAGACACUAAACCAAGACGCACGGGUUACGGGGACGGCAUGGUACUGACAGGUGCCACAGAGAAAAGGGAAGCGGGGACGACGGAUGGGGUGGGGGCAGCCAGAGGAAACCGUGCGGAAGGGUGGUGUCCGCGCGGAGACUGGAGGGUGUUUCUAUCCAGUUCUUUGGAAAACACGGUGAAGAGGAACUCAGCCUCUCUGUAGGUUGACGUUGAUGCAGUAACUGGCACCUUUGGGGUUCACCUGACUUUCCACUGAAACUCUAUACCUUCAGUGUCUAACCUGCAUUUCUCCACACUCUUCUGUUUUUUUUUUUU